rnacentral:lncRNA from 1 species
CUCUCACAAAACAACUAUCAACCAAUAGGUUUUCUAUCUUCGAAGACACGCUCAACAGGUUUGCUUCCUUGCACCCACAUUGAUCUUGAGAGAGCCUGAUAGAGAUAGUCAAUAAUAGUCAUCUUUAGUAUGCCUUAAUGCGUAUACAAUUAGUUAUGCAAUUGUAACGGUUUGAGACUUAGUAACUAACUAUCCACUUUUGUAACUAACUCUUCACUAAGCCUCUCAUAUAUAAGAAUGAUCAUGUACUGAUUUAAUUAUAACGAAUACAACUCUACAUUUCUUCAAUAUCCAUAUAAAAUAAUACACGUGAUUGUCUUCAAGACGUAAUCUGAUAAUAUUGGACUUCAUAAAUACAUAUAAAUACAUUGAAAGAGCAUACUUAUUAAUUCUAUUAAUCUACGUUCUAUGAAGUGCAAAUCAAAUGUGUAUUCAAUGUUAAGAGUCUAGAUGAUCCUUUUUCAUUGAAGACAUGGGUGUGAGUAUUUGAUGAUUUUGAACUUAAACAUUUGCUUGUUAAAUUUAUCAAUUCUACUAGUGUUUGUGAUUCUGCUUCUAACCUAAUUAACCAAGAGAACUUUAUAAACCUUGAUAUGGAGCCGCUACAACUAGUGGCUGAACUUGACUAAAAAAUUUGGGGCGGCCAAUUUAAAAUUAUAAUGUAUAAAUUAAAUAUUGAAAUAAUACUAUAUAGUAAAAAAUUAAGCUAUAAUAAACAUAAACUGGAAAAUCAAAUAAUAAAUUAACUACAUGAUUUAAAAGUACAUUAAAAUAAUACUCUAUGCUCUUUUAGUAAUUUGAAAUAAUCAAUAAUAGAUUCAGAAGUGGUACUUGCAAUAAUUUCCCAUUUAAUAUAAAUUGUCAUGUUAUCUACCAAAAAGUCAGCUUCCAUCUUAUUUCUUAACCUAGACUUAAUAAUUUUCGUUGCUAUAAAAAAUAUUUCAGUUGUGACAGUAGAAACUGAAAGAGUCACGAUAAGGCGGAGUAGUCUAUCAAUCAAGUAGUAAUAUUGUGCCUUUUUAGUUGCAACCAGCACAAUUUUUGGAUAGUUGAUAAAUUCUUCAAAUUUAAAUCUUGACAAACAUCAACCAAGAAAUAUUUUUCAACUAGAGUGCAAAUUUUUUCAAUGUUGAAAGCUUUACAAUUAUUCUUAGGAGUCAAAGCAUGUCUUAUAGUUAACAAAUCUAUUGCCUACUCUAUAAAUCUACUAUUCAACUCUUGAAAUUGUUGGUCAAUAGCCGUAAAAAUAUUUCAACUCUAAAAUAAUAAUCUAUUGUCACCUUACCUUGUUGAAGACGAGAGCAUCCAAAUCUUAUUGUUGAAUGAACAUCGUCGAGAUUAGGAAUCUAAAUAUCAUAUUUUUCAUAAAAACUCUCAACUUCAGUAAAUAAUGUAUCCCGAUCAUCUUCUCCCAAGAUUUGAAUAGGAGACUUUGUUGUUCCAAUCAAAUACAUGGAAUUAACUACAUCCUGAUAUUAUUUUUGUAAGACUUGACAAAGUAUAUCAGUUAUGACCAUAAUGUCUUUCAUCAUAUGCAACAUAAAUAAAAAAUCAAACGCUUUCAAAUAAUUAUAAGCACUAUCAGCAUCUCCACGUGUAGAAUAACUUGCCCUUUCUUUUGUAUUUUUUUUAAAACAGUACAAGUUGCCUCAUACAUAUUUAUCAAGCUACAAAUAGAAGAGAAAUGUGAUCUCCAACUCAUUUCACAAUACCAAUUUAAUUUGCACCUUUACUAGUUACAAUCUAAUCAAUUUCUAACAAAUGUGCAGUUUCCUCUAAUUGAGCAUCUUGUAACUCAUCAUGACGCUUAGUAGAAGAACAAACAACAUUGACAACAAAAGUUAGUUUCUCAAAGAAUUUAUGAAUUGAAACCACUUCUCUUGAUGCAGUAACCAAGGAAAGUUGUAAUCGAUGAGCAAAACAAUGGACAUAGUACGCAUAAGGACAAUCCUUCAUAAAUAGUGCUUGUAAAUCGUUUCGUUCUCCUCUCAUAUUACUAGCACCAUCAUACCCUUGACCACAUAUGUUAGAAACAUUAAGAUUAUGUUGAGAAAAUAUAUCACAUACUUCUUCUUUCAGAGUUAAAGUUGUAGUGUUUUUAACAUAUGCCACAUCAAAAAAUUGUUCUUGUAUUAAAACAACUUUAUCAACAAAUCUUAACACAGGAUACUUUUAUUCUUUUUUUGAUUCAUCACGAGCUUCGUCAUUUACAACAAUGCAAAAUUUGAAAUCACCAACUUCUUCACAUAUAUGUUUUCUCAUCCUACUAGAAAGAAUAUGCAAGAGCUCUUUUUGAAUUUGAUGUGAAGUAUACUUGGAAUUAUAUGGAGUAUUUUCCAAUACAACUUUUGCAACUUCGUUAUUGUAAGAUGCCAAGAGUUUUAUCAAUUGAAUAAAUUUGUCUUGAUUUCUUGACCCGCUAGUUUCACUAUGACACCAAAAAGCACAAGCUUGAAGUGUUAACCAACGAAUAGUGUUAAUUGAUGUCUUGAGACAUAUUCGAUUUUUCAAAAUUUGUUCUGAGCUUUGCACUUGAAUAGCAUUCCUUAAAUGUCCAUCUUGAUUCAACAAGUUUAGACAAGCUUUCAUUGCAUUGUUACGUGGUGAGCAAUGAUUCAUCACUAUGUUUUUGAGAAAUGCGCAAUAUUUUUUAUUUUUAACUUUCUUCCAACCACUAAAACUCAUACCAAUGGAGACAUCUGAUUUGGGACGUUCACUUGAUCUUUUGCCUAAUAGAUAGCAUGAUAAGCAAUAUGCAGCAUCUUUAAAAGAUGAAUAUUCUAGCCAUUAAGGAAAGAUGCUAAACCAAUCUUAUUGAAACCAUCUUGGAUGAACCUCGUUGUCGGACAAAAGAUAUUGUUCUAAAUUUAUUUGAUAUGAACCACAUUUUAUAUAAACUUUUUGGAAAAAUUAUUCUUAUUUUCUUCAAUUCUUGAAUUCUCAAAGAUAGUUUUAGAUGGAAAAGUUAUAGUUUCUUAUCUCUUUCACUCUCACAAUUUUUCCUGUUGGAAAAAAUAAUAAUUUUUUUUUAAUCUUCUUCAUUCUCACAAACUUCUCUAAUAAUACAAAUAAAUUUUUUAAAUAAAUCAACAACCACAAAUCAAAUUAAUAUGCACAAUAAAGUCAAACUGAUGAUUGGAUUCUUAAACAUCCAAGACUUAACAAAAGACAAGUGGUUGGAUGGAUUCUUAAACAUGUGUUAGUAUUAUUAUUUUUAAUUGGACUUUUUUGAGUUCCCAAAGGUGGUUCAUUAAAAAAUAUAUAUAAUACGUCAAUUUAUCUCAUUCUCAUUUAUUGUUAUUUCUUAAACUCAUUAAUUUAAUCAAGUUAUAGAGCACAUGGUCAUGGACACAGUAACAAGUCAGAACUCAAUUUUAACUCACUCACUCAAAUUCAAAAGAAGCAAAAAUCACAAAACAAAGUUAUCAAACUCAAAGGGGCACUGUCAAAGUCACUAAGUCACCAUCACUUUAUCUUUGUAAUUUUGUAAACUCAUCCAAAUUCCAAACUCACUCCAAUAGUCCAAUUCGCAAAAUCAUAUUUAUAUUCACUCUCUCAAAAAGUCACAGUCACAUAUACAAAUCAGAAAUUUAGAAUGAUGCAAAUACAUAAUGAUAUUCAAACUCAAUUUAUUAUCAAUUAAAACAAGUUAUCAAACUCAAAAGGAGUAUCAAAAUCAUGAUAUUGAGACAUGACAUCAAAUCAAAUCAAACUCAGUGAGUCAAUGAGUGACUCACAUGACAUCAAUGGGCACUGGGGCUCGACACAGUAAUGGCGAAGAUCGCGUCGCGUGCGCGAGGGCUAACCGAGGAGCGAGAUGCCGAGACGGAAUGAUGAGGACUGAGGAGUAGAAGCCGAGAAAGGAGACACCAGUGGAGGCGAACGAGAGACGACGGUGGGCCAAUUGGUGGCGAUUCUGGAAACUGGAAAAGGAGAAAGAGGGGAAAGAUGAGAUGAUGAGGCUUAGUCAAGAGAGUGAGAGAAAGUUGGAAAGAUACAU